AUAUCAAUAAGCGGGGGAAAAGAAACUAACAAGGAUUCCCCUAGUAACUGCGAGUGAAGCGGGAAAGGCUCAAAUUUAAAAUCUGGUAGUCUUUGGCUGCCCGAAUUGUAGUCUAGAGAAGCGUCUUCCGCGCCAGCCUGUGUACAAGUCUCUUGGAACAGAGCGUCAUAGAGGGUGAGAAUCCCGUCCAUGACACAGACUACUGGUGCUUUG
rnacentral:rRNA from 1 species